CUCUUACAGUGAAAAUUACGAUUUCUAAAAAUAUUGACAUUAAUUUUUUAUUUAUAAGUAUUGUAUACAUAAGUCUCAAAAUAUAAAUAUAAUAUGGUCUAUUAAAAUAUAUAGAUACUAAUAUUACUACUAACAAAAAUUUGUGUUUUUGUCAGAUUUUAUUCCAUUAAUGAUAUGUAAUAUAACCUAUAUUCUAAAAUACCCAGUGGACCUGACUAACUGCAGGUAGAAGCCUUUCCUUUGAGGAAAAGAAAAGGUCUGGCCAGGACGAUGGUCAAGAUGGCUUCAUUUACCUUAUCUCCCCUCUCCCCAAAAACCCUGAGAAGAGAAGACGGGCUAAGGUGAGCAGUGUGUGGGGAUAUGUUAGCCUGUUGACAGGUAUCCCGAGAAACUCUGAGUCCCACCCUUCGGGAUGGUCGGGUGAUGGUGGCAGCCCAGGAGAUAUGCCUGAAGACAUGCUGAACAAAGACAGAUGAAAUACGAGAUGCGUGUUUAUCUGUGCACAGUGUCUGUGCAGCGACUGCAACCAUGAGAUAGCCAGACAUUUCACCACAGUGAUGAAAAUGUUUCGUUGCAGUUUGACACUUAAAGAUAGAAUAAACUGCAUAAAUAAAAAGCAUAUACUCCCAUCCCCACCCCUAGAUCAUCCAAAAUAUUUUUCUGGACAGCAUGUGGCACCAGCCUGACAUUUUGGGGUGCAUCACAGGGCUCAUUGCUAUUAUCUAUCAUGUUCUUCUCAAGUUGACAUUUAAGCACCUUAUCGCCACACAUGAGAAAAAAGAUCCCGUUUCUUUGGACUGUGUUUUUUUCAGCCUGUGAUUCAGAAGCACUGAUAUGCUGCUCUUUUAAUUUUGAACCGUACUCCCAUUUCUGCUGGGAGGCAGCAACGUGGAAAAUAACAGGUGAGGCUUGCAGCCCUCAGGAAAUAGCAGGUGGGAAGAGUGAUCAGGAAAAGCAAGGAAGGCUUUGGUUUUCUUUAGGUAAUCUGAAAUGUUUCUGCCUCUUUGAGACACCAUGAGCUGACAGAGGCUUGUUUUCUUCUCUUCUCACCUUCUCCCCUUCUGUUUUGCCCACACCCUUCUUUUCAGGCUCAGAGAGGUGAAGAAACUUGCUCAAGUUUGAUUCUCUAUCUCUAAUUAAUUAAGCCUGGCCCCUAGGAGCCUGCUGCUUCACCUCACACAGUCUGCCCCCACGUUGUAAUGCAUCAACAUUAAUUACUGGGAGCAAUGUGGACAUUUUGUUUCCCAUUUUUCUAGCCCUUUCCUUAACCCUUUAUAUUCAUAAAAAUUUGCUUAAAAAAUAGUGUCAAUUAAUAAUGUGCAGAAGCAUCCUAAAGAGGGAGGUUGCUAGAAAUAGCAGGUCCUCUCUCUUGUAUUUAAAUUCUGAUCUAAUAAGAUCAGAUCUAGUAGUGGGGCUCUAGUGGUACUAAUGAAGGAAGUCCAAGGUUUGUCCCUCAAGGAACAAUGGCUUGAACAUUAAGUCUUAAAGUAUGACGAGUGGAGAAAACAGCUAAAGGAUAACUCUUAGAUCCUGUCUACGCUCUCACUCAACUGGGGCAACCUCAGUGGUACGUAGCAAAUUUGUAUGUACCUUGUACAUUGGAAUACUACUCAGCAGUAAAAAGGAAUGAACCACUGAUACACACAACAGGAUUGAAUUUCAAAAGCAUUACACUGAGCCGAAGAAGCCGGACACAAAGGAGUGCAUACAGAGAGAAAACAGAUCAGUGGUUAUUUGAGGAAGGGAGAGUGUCUGAUGAGAAAGGAGUUUGGGGGAAUUUUCUGGGAGAUGAAAAUAUCUGUCUUGAUUGACAAUGGUGUAUAUUACAGGAGUGCAUGUCUUUGUCAAAAAUAGAUCUAAUCGUACAUUUAUGAUCUAUGUACAUCAUUGUAAGCAAAUAAUACCUUAAUAAGUGUUUUAUCUUGAAUUAUAUGGGGUAAUGAUAAUUUUUUUACCAAUUCAUAUCUUUAAAAGUACAUAACAGGCCAAAAAAGAAGACUUACACGUUAGAAAAAGAUCUAAUACAGUGCUGCACACAUGGUAAGCACUCAAUAAAAAUGUUAUUUAUGAUGAAUAACUAUGCAAGAGUAGUUCAUUACGAAGAGCUCUUUCUUACAAGAUGCCUCCUUUCAGCCCAGCAAUAUAGUCCAAUUCGGCACUGUGUACAAGAUUAAAGUUUCCCAGCCCUAUAUAAAUAUUUCCAGUAAUCUUCUAUUCCAUCAAUCCAGUUAUACAGCCUUUUCAUGGGAGCACAAUAAAUAAAAUCAAUACAUUUUAUUACUUCGAUUCAAAGGCAUAAGGCUGUCUGCAAUGUUGAUCCAAACUUUAGGGAGUUCUUUCUGAGGAAAGGGCACUGCUAAAAUUUUGUGUGAAUAAGAAAAGCUAUCCUUAAAUCUUAAGAAUUUCUUAGAUUGAAAAAAAUACAUAUAAGGGCUAUCAAUCUCUAUGUAUGAUCUCUACUGGAUAAAUAUAGUGGGGAGAGGGGGCACCAGCUAGUCUUCCAAAGAAAUACAUUUUCUGAAAAUAUAUAGUGGAUGAAUUUUAUAUUUCUAUAAUAAAAAAAAGUGUCCACUACCAAGUCUCAGGCAAAUUGGACAGAUUACUUAGUAGUACUUACUUUUCUUAAUUGUGCUGAGGUCAUAAUGUAUCUGUGACUAUCUUCCUUUAUUUUUAAUAUUUUUACUCACUUUAAGGAGUAUAACAAAGAAAAUUAAGUAACCAAAAAAUCAAAAAUGCAAAUCAAAUUGUAAGCUUCAGGUUAAAAGAAAAUAAUUUACUGUUAGGUUAUAUCUCCACAAUGCUAAGUAUGAGUCUGAAAACAUUCUUUAUCAACAAGAACUGCCCCCAAUAUUUUCAGUUGUUUUGUCUCUAGAGGAUUCACAUAUAGAGAAGAAAUAAGCAAUAAAGCAUUAUAGGACAGCUAUUACAGGAAAAACAUGAUUUUCUGUUUCAAUUUCUAGAAGAUAAAUUUCGUUUUGUUAUUAUACUUUAAGUUCUGGGGUACAUAUGCAGAAUGUGCAGAUUUGUUACAUAGGUAUACAUGUGCCAUGGUGGUUUACUGCAGGAAGAUAAAAUUUUUAAAGGAAAAAAAUAGAAAUGAUGAAAAAGUAAGGGCAACUCAAAAACUGGGGGAAAGUUUUAAAUCCCGUGACCACAUAGAAACAUUUCCAUUUUUUGGCCGGAUGUGGUGGCUCACCACCUGUGAUCCCAACACUUUGGGAGACUGAGGCAGGCGGAUCAUCAGAGGUCAGGAGUUCAAGACCAGCCUGACCAACAUGGUGAAACUCCAUCUUUACUAAAGAUACAAAAAUUAACAGGCAAGGUGGUGCAAGCCUAUAAUCCCAACUACUUGGGAGUCUGAGGCAGAGAAUCGCUUGAACCGGGGAGGCAGAGAUUGCAGUGAGCCAAGAUCGUGCCACUGCACUCCAGCCUGGGCAACAGAGUGAGACUCCAUCUCAAAAAAAAAAAAAAAAAUAGAAAGAAAAAAGAAACAUUUCCAUUUUGUAAUCAAAGAAUUAGAACUUUCACAAUUCAAACUUUAUUUAUUCCAGGAAUCUCAAAAUGGGAUAUCCUGAACCAGCAGCACCCAGAGACUUGUUAGAAUUGCACAUCCCAGGCCUCACUCAGUCCAAAUGAGUCAGAAAUUCUAGGGACGGGACCCAGCAUCUGUGUUGAAACAAGCCCUCCAGGUGAUUCUGUUGCAGAGUAAAGUCCGAGAACCACUGACUCAUUCCAAAAACAUUUGCUGGGUGCCCACUGUGUGCCAGCCUCUGAAAAAAGAAUUAGAGAUACAAAAAUGAAGAUUUAUUAUGAUCUAUAGUUUAAUUGGUCACCAAAAAUGGAAUAUUUGCUCAUAGUUUUUUGAAUACGAGAGAGUUGCCUGGGCACAGCUGGAUCAGGUAGGACCACCAAGAUCCUGAGGCUGCUAUGGAGGUUGGGGCAGUGGUGCUUAGUCAGAAUCCCCUGGGAGGAUUUUUUCACCAACACAAGCCUUGUCCCUCCCCAGGCCUCUGGAAUCACAGUCUCUGGGAGUGAGGCUCAGGAAAGCGGUAUUUUGUUAAUUCCCCCCAGUAACUCUGAUGUCCACCCUGAGUCCACCCUGAGUUAAUCAUGCUACUGCUGUACAGUUGUGUGGGUUCUGUGGUUUUUUUCAUCACUGCCCUCCCGUCAUCUUCUGUAGGUAUGCUCUAGGGCCCACCUGAACUGAGUCACCUAUGGCAGCACUGCUAGGGACAGGGGAAUGGGAGUUUGCACACACAUGAGGGAACAUCUGCCCAUUUGAACCACAGAUCUACUGAAUCUGAAUCAGAAUCUUUGAAGGCAGGCCUCCAGAGCAUGUAUUUUUUUAAACAAACCUCCUGGAGGUUUUGGGGUUUUUUUUUUGUUGGUUUUUUUGUUUUUCCGAGACAGAGUCUCACUCUGUCACCCAGGCUGGAGGGCAGUGGCGCUAUCUUGGCUCACUGCAACCUCCAUCUCCCGGGUUCAAACAAUUCUCCUGCCUCAGCCUCCCGAGUACCUGGGAUCACAGAUGCGUGCCACCAUGCCCGGCUAAUUUUUGUAUUUCUAGUAGAGACGGGGUUUCACCAUAUUGGUCAGGCUGGUCUCGAACUCCUGACUUCAUGAUCUGCCCGCCUUGGCCUCCCAAAGUGCUGGGAUUACAGGCAUGAGCCACCGCGCCCGGCCACCCCCUGGAGAUUUUUAAGCACACAACAAUUUGAAGUGUACCGCUUUGUCAAGCCCUCUAAGGAGAUACUUUAACUGUCCAUUACAGUCUAGUCCUCAAGAGUCUCUCAGAGAACAUUCCAUUUGUCUCUUUAUACAUGUGGUAGGAAGUAAUAGCCCCCCACAAAGAUGUCCACAUCCUAAUUCCCUGAAUCUGUAAACGUUAUCUUACGUGGCAAAAAGGACUUGACAGACAAGAUUAAGAAUUUGUGGUGGGCCUGAGCGUGGUGGCUCACACCUGUAAUCCCAGCACUUUGGGAGGCCGAGGCAGGUGGAUCACCUGAAGUCAGCAGUUCGACACCAUCAUGGCCAACAUGGGGAAACCCCAUCUCUACUAAAAAUACAAAAAUUAGCUGGGCAUGGUGCCACACGCCUGUAACCCCAGCUACUCAGGAGGCUGAGGCAGGAGAAUCACUUGAACCUGGGAGGCAGAAUUUGCAGUGAGCUGAGAUUGCACCAUUGCACUCCAGCCUGGGCAACAAAGUGAGACUCCAUCUCAAAAAAAAAAAAAAAAUUGUGGAUGGUUGAUUCUUCUGGAUCAUCUAGGGGUGCCAGAUGUAGUGAGAAAGAUCCUUAUAAGAGGAGGCUCACAGGUCAGGGUCAGCACUUUGAAGAUGUUCCAGUGCUGGCUUUAAAGAUGGAGCAAGGGGCCACAAGCCAAAGAAUGCAGGCAGCCUCAAGAAGCUUAGAAAGGCAAGAAAACAGUCUCCCCUAGAGCCUGCUGAAGGAACGCAGCCUUGCUAACACCUUCUUUAGUGUUAAACCCUUUUUGGGUUUCUGACCCAGAUUUGUGGUAACAUACCAGCUGUUGUUCCAAACCCUAUUGACUCCAGUGGGGAAGGUACCAGGUUCAAGAGGCCCAAGAAGAGACCCAGAGCCAGCAAAGGAGACAUGGGGUCUUACUGGGGCCUUACAUACAGAAUAAAGAGUCCAGUGGCGGUGGGCUGAACAGACCCGCAACUGCUUGCAAAAGGAAUGCAGUUUACAUAGCAUUUUUCUCCACCUGGCAACCUUCACUUAACCCAAAACAAUCCCCUAUAUGGCUUGCAUUCCAUGGCCUGGGGUGGGUGCAGAGCAGAGAGGGGGGUGCUCAGAUAUUUCUUAUUGAGAAGGAGUGAAUCUCCCAGUAGGCCAAUCCCUGAUCCCUUAGCUUGGAACUCCAAACACACAUUCAGGUGCAUUGCCAUACAGGGUCAUUCUCAGGAAAUGCUUAAGCUAUUGCUAUCAAGUGCAUUUACCAUACACCAGCAAUAGGGAAAUAAUACAAUAUGUAGAAGAUAUAGAAAGGAAAAUAAUUUAGAGACAAACAGUGCUAUUAACUGAAGAAAUCUCAUUUGGAGAUUCUAACACAUAAGAGAUGGCAUCUUUAGUGUUCCCUUGGGAUUUAUAUUUAUUAAACAAUUUCUUUGACUAGAAGUCUUAACUAGAUCUACAGUUACAGUAAUCAUAAAAAAUUACGGAACCUUAAAAAAAAGAACCUAAGUUGCUUGACAACAGUUCCUUUCCGAUUCAUUUCACCUUCACAACACUGUCAGAUGAUACAGAAUACCAUCUACUGUGUAUAGCUAAUGACACCAUUUUCACUAGUGUCUACUCCCCAAUAGCUGACAAGCCUAAAAAUAUUGAUUUGGAGGAAGAAUCAGGAAACUCAUUCAUAAUGGACAUAUUUGACGUGAUGUCAUCAGUUAUACAGUAAAACCUGUGAAGGAACAUAACACAGGGAAAAAGCCUUCAAAUCCCCUUGUUUGGAAGAUUUAAAAAUAGGUGAACAAUUGCCGCCUUCUCCCACUCACCCUUGCUUCACUCUUACCAGUAAAAGGCUCAUUCCUCUAAGCUGUGGUUCUCAUUCCGAGUGUGCAUCAGAAUCACCUGGAGGGGUUGUUAACACACAGAUGGCUGGGCCCCACCCCAGGGUUUCUGACGCAGUAGGUCUAGGGGCAGAGACUAAGAAGGUGCAUUUCUAACAUGUUCCAUGGUGUCGCCCUGCUGCCUGUCUGGGGAUCAUGCUCCGAAACUUGCAGACCAGAGUAGUGGCUCUCAACAUUAGCUGUAGGUGAGCAUCACCUGAGCACAUGUAGGAGCCUUGAUGUCCAAGCCACACCGAGGCCAAUUAAGUCAGACUUCCUGGCACUGAGAUUCAGACAUCACUAUUUUAAACUCCCCAGGUGAUGCCAAUGUGCGGCCAAAGUUGCUAACCACAGUUCUCAAGGUCAAAAUAACAGUGAAUGCCCGGCACGGUGGCUCACGUCUGUAAUCCCAGCACUUUGGGAGGCCAGGGUGGGUGGAUCACCUGAGGUCAGGAGUUCAAGACCAGUCUGACCAACAUGGCAAAACCUGGUCUCUACUAAAAAUACAAAAAUUAGCCGGGCAUGGUGGUGCAUGUCUGUAUAAUUCCAGCUACUUGGGAGGCUGAGGCAGGAGAAUCACUUGAACCCAGGAGGCAGAGGUUGCAGUGAGCUGAGAUCACACCACUGCACUCCAGCCUGGGCAGCAGAGCAAGACUCCAUCUCUAAAUAAAUGAAUAAAUAAAUAAAUAAAACAGUGAAGAAGGAGAGCAGGUAAAUGCUAGGGAGAAGAAGCAGCAACACUGCCAGUGAGAUGCCCAACCCCUCGGCCGUCCCUUGAGCCUAGGAUCCCCUGCCAUGCAAAUGCUUCUCCUGCCUCACAGUCUAAGUUUAAAAACAUCUGAUCUCAAGGAAUAAGAAUAUGAUGCUGCAACAUACUGCCCAGUCAAAGGAUAUGAUAGGGGAAGAUGGUAACCUGUUGAAACAAAUAAUACAAUUCUAAACACUGUCUAUAUAAAAAUUUAGAAUUGUUUUGAAUUUUAAGAAAAGCCUUUAAUCUUUACAGAAAGACUCAAAGGAACCAGAGUUUCUUAUAGUAAAUAAAAGUUCAGUGCUUAACUCCCAGAUAGCCUCCUUAUUUUCUAUUUUUCAGGCAGUUAAUGUCCCGUGCUUCAUAUCCAAGUGUUUCUCUCCUUCUUACAAACACACACCCUAUUUUUAUUGUCAUGAAUAGUCAUUGGUUCCAAACAAUGUCUAAUUACCAAUUUGUCAGUAACCUCUCAAUUCAGGUUUUGUUCAUUUAAAUGCAUCGUUUUUUGUGGAUAUCUACAUGACCUAGAAUUUAGGUCAUGCUACAAGUAGAAUAUGCUACUUUUGCUCCUUUUUGAAAUAACUGCAAGGUGGUACUACUUUCUAGCACAGCUUUUCUCCUGCUGCCAAUGCUGAAGAAGCUCGAAAAAUAAUUGCCUUUUGAGGGGCUGACUUUUUCUUAUCUGUCCCCCCAAGAGUGGCUCCAAUUUAUUCAUAAAAGUUUGAUACAUGAGCUGAUAUAUUUACUCAUUUUCAUCCUAAAUUCGAUUGAUCUAUGUACAGAAAUAUGCUUUGGAUUUUAGCAUCUAUCAACAAAUAUCAUAAAUCCCUCAAGCAAAUGUGUUUGUAACAUACUGUGCGAAACAGGUGUUUAGAGUCACAUUGAUUUCUCCCAGGGUAUUUGAUGUGUAAAUUUCUUAAAUAUUUACUUAUAAGAAAGAAAUUUACAAAUUCUUUCUGCCUUUCCAUCAUGGUAGGAAUCAAGCUCUAAAUGCCCUCUUUUCAGUUUUCUUUAGGUGAUUGUGAAGGAGAAGCUUGAAGGACUGACCUUUACUUCAAACCACACCUAUUUUAGCCUGUUUUGUUAAAAGAUACUAUGAUCCUAUGUCUUGUAUCACAGAGUUGAAUCUUCUCCAGAACACAGACCAGAUUUUAUUUAUGGUACUAACGUAUUAAUAUAAAUCAGCCCACAGGACAAAUUAAACAAAGGUGAACUAUAAGAUUUAAUUCGUCAAUGCCAAAUUAAACUGUGAAAAUGUAUGUCAAAUGGCUUAUUUAAUAGCAAAUGUAUUACACACAUGAACACAAAUUUAACUAUUUUCACACUUAUUUCCAGAGUAUAUAUGUCUUUUUUGCUAUUGGACUGAUAAUAUGUAAUGGCCAAAAAUAAUUCACUUAUUUCAGGAAACUAAAAGUUGGUACCUCUACUCUUAUACCCUUAGUAAAUUUGGGCUGCUAUAACAAAAUACUAUAAAUGGGUGUCUUAUAAACAACAAACAUUUAUUUCUCACAGUUCUGAAGGCUGGGAAGUCCAAGAUCAAGGUUUUGGCAGAUUCAGUGUUUGGUAAGGGCCUGCCUCCUGGUUCAUAGAAAGGGCAGCUUCUCCGUAUGUCCUCACAUGGAGAAAGGUCAAGGCAGCUCUCUGGAGCCUGAUUUAUAAGGGCACUAAUCCCACUCAUGAGGGCUCCACUCUCCCUCUUGACCACCCCCUCCAAUCUCCCAAAGGCCCUACCUCCUAAUAUCAUAACAUUGGUGAUUAGGUUUCAACAUAUGAAUUUUAGGGGGAUGCAAACAUUCAUAUCAUAGCAUACCCCCUAUGUUUUGGUAAACAUAUGUAGAUCCAUACCAUAAACACCAUACUUGAACUGCACUGUUGUUGUUGUUUUUAGAUAGUUCUCCAUGUAAAUACAGUAAGAUUUCCAUGGAAAGACUUGUAGACUAUUUCUAUGUUUGGAUAGAUCCUACUGUGAUUUAACUAAUCCUUUAUUGACUGACAUUUAUUUCCAUUAUUCAAUAUUGUAAACAACUUUACAAGAAACAACCUUGUAGCACAUAUCCAUUUCCCUACAAUAAAUUCCUAGAAGUGGAAUUGCUAGGUAAGAGAACAUAAAUAUUUGAAAUAUGAAUAGGUUUUACUAGAUGUCCCCAAAGACGUUACACCAAAUUUCAUGCUUACCAAGUGCUUAUUUUCCUCUGUGAUCACCAGCACAGGUGUUUUUUUUUUUAUUUUUUUUUUUUUUAUUUUUCAAGGGAGACCAGAGUUUUAUUAUUACUCAAAUCAGUCUCCCCAAACAUUCGGGGAGCAAUUUUGUUUUGUUUUGUUUUGAGACACAGUCUUGCUCCCUUGCCAGGCUAGAGUGCAGUGGUGUGAUCUCGGCUCACUGGAACCUCCACCUCCCGGGUGCAAGUGAUUCUCUUGCCUCAGCCUCCUGAGUAGCUAGGACUACAGGCAUGCACCACCACACCCGGCUAAGUUUUGUUUUUUCAGUAGAGAUGGGGUUUCACCAU
rnacentral:lncRNA from 1 species